CUUUUCCUCUAUUUUCCUUUCACGCGGCUUCUUAGACACGCUUUUCAUCCCUAUCAUUCAAAAACCCUAAUUUUUCUUUAAUCCUCCUGAACAUCUCUGAUCUCUCCCUAACUCUUUCAUUUUCUUUCAUGGAGAUAGCGAUUUCAUACAUCUGUGAUUGUCUUAUACACUGAUUAAUCUCUAGCAGAGUCGAUUCUCAUCAAAACGAUUAAUGGAAUCCCUGAAGUGUAACCAGUGGAAUUGAAUCUAGCCGUCCAUCGAGAAACCCUAAAAUCUUCAGAAAAGUUUAAAGCUUGAGAGAGAGAGACAAUGGAAACAAGUGGUGGUUGGAGCCAUCCAUCCAGUGGUGAUGUUUGGGUUCCGAUUAGAGCACUGGCGACGUCGACGACGACGGCUAGAUUUCUUUCACUUAAAGGAUAUAAAAGAACAAAUAACGGUCAUGGGGGAUUGGAGUUUUCUAUGGGGAUUCACUCUCUUCUCUUAAACCUAUUGAAGAUCUUACGCGCUAUGUAGGUGGCCUUCAAAUGGUUAAAGGCAGAAAACCAGUGGUAUUGGUGGUUUUGCAGUGCAGCAUAUUGAACAGACAUGAAUCAAAAUUCUACAAAUACUUUUGCUUCCCAAGUAAAUAAAAGAACAUUAAUCAACUUACUUUUUGCGGUAGCUGGUGAUGUAGCCAUCUGGUCAAGCCGGCUGGACUAUCUGGAUUUCACUCAACCAUACACCGAGUUAGGUUUGGAGAUGGUGACAAGUUACAUAGCAAUUUGUCAAGAAUGGUGGUGGUUGUGUGGCUCUUUGUGGCACUAAUCAUCACACAGAGCUACACGGCUAGCUUCACGAUCAUGCUCACGGCUCAAAGGGUGGAACCCACAAUAACCAACAUUGAGGUGCUCAGGAACACGAAUGCAACAGUAGGGUACUGAUGAGUUUUUAUAAAAGCAAGUAUUUUUUUUAACAAGGCUCGAACGCCUGGUUUAAAUAGCUCGAAAGGGUGUGGAACUCGCUAAA